ACCGUGCAAAGGUAGCAUAAUAUUUAGUUUCUUAAUUGGGAGCUGGAAUGAAAGGUCGAACGAAAAAAAGACUGUCUCAAUUUAAUUUUUAUUAGAAUUUUAUUUUUAAGUAAAAAAGCUUAAAUGAUAUUAAAAGACGAGAAGACCCUAUAGAGUUUUAUAAUUUUAUAUAUUAUUGAAAGUUAAAGUAUUUUAGAUUUGAUUAUAUAUAAAAUUAUUUGGUUGGGGCGACUAAAAAAUUGAUUGAACUUUUUUUAUUUAUAAACAUUGAUAUAUGAAUAAGUGAUCCAUAAAGUUAUGAUUAUAAGAUUAAAUUACCUUAGGGAUAACAGCGUAAUUUUUUUUGAGAGUUCUUAUCGAAAAAAAAGUUU
rnacentral:rRNA from 1 species